AUGGUGGCAGUGGUGGGCGCGGGGUCCUGGGGGGGGGUGGCAUCCACGGGGGUGGGCUUGGGGGAGGUGGUCCCGGCCAUGGCCAUGGGGUUGGGCCAGGAGGUCCCGUCCAUGGGGUUGGCCAAGGUGGUCCCCUCGGUUGGGACGUGCCCCCAGGCCAUGGUCCCAUCCGUGGGCAUCGACUUGGUCGAGACAGUCCCAUGGGUUGGGUCGUGCUCCCAUGAGAUGGUGCCACCCGUGGGUAUGGCCUCGGUUGAGAUGUUCCCAUCGGUGGGCGUUGACUCGGUCAACGUGGUGCCAUCCAUUGGGACGUGCCCCCAUGAGCUGGUGUCAUCCUUGGGCAUUGACUUGGUCAACGUGGUGCCAUCCAUGGGCAUUGACUUGGUCGAGAUGUUUCCAUCUGCUGGAACACGCUCCCAUGACAUGGUGCCAUCCGUGGGCAUGGAUUUGGUUGAGAUGCUCCCAUCUGUAGGCGUUGACUCGGUCAACGUGGUGCCACCCUUGAGCAUUGACUUGGUCGAGAUGCUCCCAUCCAUUGGAACACGCUCCCAUGACAUGGUGCCAUCCAUGGGCGUGGACUUGGUUGAGAUCCCAUCCGUGGGUGUUGACUUGGUCAAGGUGGUCCCAUCUGCUGGGAUGUGCCCCCAUGAGCUGGUGUCAUCCUUGGGAACAGACGUGGUCAACAUGGUGCCACCCAUGGGUAUGGACUUGGUCGAGAUGCUCCCAUCUGUUGGAACACGCUCCCAUGACAUGGUGCCAUCCGUGGGCAUGGAUUUGGUUGAGAUGCUCCCAUCCAUGGGCAUGGACUUGGUCAAGGUGGUGCCAUCUGUUGGGAUGUGUCCCCAUGAGCUGGCGUCGUCCUUGGGCACAGCCUUGGUCCCCGCGGUGCCACCCGCUGGAGGAGGCUCCCACGCCAUGGCCAAGGUGUCCCCACCUGGGCCAUGCUCCCACACGUUGGGGUCACCCACGGGGGAGGCCCUGCUCCACGUGGUCCCAUCCGGGGGUGCGGGCUCGGCCCAGGCGCUUCCAUCUGCUGGGACGCGCGCCCAGGACGUGGUCCCGUGGGUGGGCACGGAUUUGGGCGUGGUGGUCCCGAAGGUGGGCACGUGCUCAUGCAAGAUGCUCCUGCCCACGGCCCCGCACCCACGGGGCUCCUGCCAGAAUCCUGCACCCAGCGCCACGUCCUUGUAGGAGAAGCAGCCACCCAUGGGGGACGCGGUCCCAGCGGGCGGUGGGUGCUCACAGGAGAUGCCCCCACCCAUGGGCAUGGAGUGGGGCGAGACGGUCCCGUGGGUGGGCUCGUGGGGGGUGCUCCUGGACGUGGGGGUGGGCUCAGAGGUGGUGGUCCCGUGGGUGGCCAGGUGCUCCUGAGAAGUGCUCCCAUAGGUGAAGAAGGACUCGGAGGAGGUGGUCCCAUGGGUGGCCACGGGCUCGGCCAAGGUGCUCCCAUGGAUGAAGGUGGGCUUGGAGGGGGUGGUCCCAUGGGUGCCCCCAUGCUCAUACGAAGUGCUCCCAUAGGUGAAGAUGGACUCGGAGGAGGUGGUCCCGUGGGUGGCCAAGGUGGUCCCAUGGGUGGCCACAUGCUCCUGAGAAGUGCUCCCAUAGGUGAAGAAGGACUCGGAGGAGGUGGUCCCGUGGGUGGCCGUGGUGGUCCCAAGGGUGGCCGUGGUGGUCCCAAGGGUGGCCAAGGUGGUCCCAUGGGUGGCCACAUGCUCCUGAGAAGUGCUCCCAUAGGUGAAGAAGGACUCGGAGGAGGUGGUCCCGUGGGUGGCCAUGGUGGUCCCAUGGGUGGCCGUGGUGGUCCCACGGGUGCCCACGUGCUCAUGUGAGGUGCCCCCACCCACACCCACGGGUGCGAAGCUCUCCCAGCCCGGCUGCUCCAUCAGGGUGCUCGGGGGCUCGGAGCACCCAUGGGUGCCCACGCGGCCCCCCGGGGCGCCCCCAUAUGCGGGGACGGGCUCAGAGGAGGAGGUCCCAUGGGUGGGGGGGUGCUGCUGAGAGCCCCCCUGGUGACCGGGGUCGGACCCGUGGGUGCCACCACCACCACCACCGGUGCCACCACCACCAUGGGUGCCACCACCGUGGGUGCCACCGGUGUCCCCAUCGAUGGCCCCCUGCAGGUCCCAGACGCAGAGCUGGGCCUGCACCAGGCUGGCCCAGAAGACGUCGGCGGGGGCGGGCAGGGGGGGCCCAGGGGUGCCGGGGGCCGGGGGGGGGGCGUCGGAGAAGACGAUGGCGUCCUGCGCCGCCAGGGCCCCGGGGGGGCGGCCACCCCCCGGCUCCAUCCCGCGGCCUCAGCGGCUUCACCGCGGCCCCCCCAUGGCCGUGGGGCUGACCUGGGGGGAGAGGGGGAGCCCCGUUAAUUGUGGGGUGAGGGGUGGGGGGGCGUUGGGUGCCGGGGGGGUGCCGGGUGCCGGGGCCCCCCCAGCGCGCCCCACGCUGUCCCCGUGUCACCCACGUCACCGCCCGCCGGCUUCCGGCCCCGCUACCAGGGCAGGAAGGGGGGGAUGGGAGGGAGGAAGCCCCGUGCCCCCCCCCACGCCCCCCCCCCAACCCCACGCGUGUCCCCCCCCCCCCCACUCGUGCCCCCCCCCCA
rnacentral:lncRNA from 1 species